rnacentral:rRNA from 1 species
CCUACGGGUGGCAGCAGUAGGGAAUAUUGCGCAAUGGGGGAAACCCUGAAGCAGCAACGCCGCGUGGAGGAUGAAGGUUUUAGGAUUGUAAACUCCUUUUGUUAGAGAAGAUUAUGACGGUAUGUAACGAAUAAGCACCGGCUAACUUCGUGCCAGCAGCCGCGGUAAUACGGAGGGUGCAAGCGCUACUCGGAAUCACUGGGCGUAAAGAGUGCGUAGGCGGGGGAAUAAGUAUGAUGUGAAAUCCCGUGGCUUAACUACAGAACGUCAUUUGAAACUGUUACUCUGGAGUGUAGGAGAGGUGAGUGGAAUUCUUGGUGUAGCGGUAAAAUCCGUAGAGAUCAAGAGGGACACUCAUUGCGAAGGCGACUUUCUGGUACGUAACUGACGCUGAUGCACGAAAGCGUGGGGAGCAAACAGGAUUAGAUACCCGGGUAGUC